CCCUUAGAUGUUCUGGGCCGCACGCGUGCUACACUGAGUAAUUCAAUGAGUAAGGGAACGCUAGAGCAUUACCUAAUCUUGAAAUUUGCUCGUGAUGGGGAUCGACGGUUGCAAUUUUCCGUCGUGAACGAGGAAUACCUUGUAGGCGCAUGUCAUCAUCAUGCGCCGAAUACGUCCCUGCCCUUUGUACACACCGCCCGUCGCUCCUACCGAUUGAGUGAUCCGGUGAGGCUCUGGGACCUGGACGGAAAGAGCGUUUCGCUUGUUCUGUUUGGGAAACUUGGUCGAACCUUAUCAUUUAGAGGAAGGAGAAGUCGUAACA
rnacentral:rRNA from 1 species